rnacentral:tRNA from 1 species
ACUUGAGUAGUUUAUUUAAAAUGUUGAUUUGUGGGGUCGGUGAUGUGUUUUUACCUCAAGUU